GAUGAACGCUAGCUACAGGCUUAACACAUGCAAGUCGCGAGGCAGCAUGGGGGUUGCUUGCAAUCCCCGAUGGCGACCGGCGCACGGGUGAGUAACGCGUAUCCAACCUGCCCUUCACCACGGGAUAACCCGGCGAAAGUCGGACUAAUACCGUAUGUUGUCCAUUGACGGCAUCCGAUUUGGACGAAAGGUUUGGCGGUGAAGGAUGGGGAUGCGUCCGAUUAGCUGGACGGCGGGGUGACGGCCCACCGUGGCGACGAUCGGUAGGGGUUCUGAGAGGAAGGUCCCCCACGCUGGAACUGAGACACGGCCCAGACGCCUACGGGAGGCAGCAGUGAGGAAUAUUGGUCAAUGGGCGUAAGCCUGAACCAGCCAAGUAGCGUGCAGGAUGACGGCACUAUGGGUUGUAAACUGCUUUUAUGCGGGGAUAAAGUGGCCCACGUGUGGGUUUUUGCAGGUACCGCAUGAAUAAGGACCGGCUAAUUCCGUG
rnacentral:rRNA from 1 species